rnacentral:rRNA from 1 species
AAUAGAUACCCGGGUAGUCCACGCCCUAAACGAUGCAUAUUUGGUGUAGGUCAUUCAGUUGAUCUGUGCCGGAGCUAACGCGUUAAAUAUGCCGCCUGGGGAGUACAGUCGCAAGGCUGAAACUCAAAGGAAUUGACGGGGGCCCGCACAAGCGGUGGAGCAUGUGGUUCAAUUCGACGCAACGCGAAGAACCUUACCUGGGCUCGAACGGCUGGUCAACGAUCGUGGAAACACGGUUACUCCGCAAGGAGGUCCAGUCGAGGUGCUGCAUGGCUGUCGUCAGCUCGUGUCGUGAGAUGUUGGGUUAAGUCCCGCAACGAGCGCAACCCUUGUCCUGUGUUGCCAUCCCGCAAGGGGGGACUCGCAGGAGACCGCCAGCGAUAAGCUGGAGGAAGGUGGGGAUGACGUCAAGUCCUCAUGGCCUUUAUGUCCAGGGCUACACACGUGCUACAAUGGCCGGUACAAAGCGCAGCUAAGUCGCGAGACGGAGCCAAUCGCAAAAAACCCGGUCUCAGUUCGGAUU